GAUGAAGAACGUAGCGAAAUGCGAUAAGUAGUGUGAAUUGCAGAAUUCAGUGAAUCAUCGAAUCUUUGAACGCACAUUGCGCCCUUUGGUAUUCCUUAGGGCAUGCCUGUUCGAGCGUCAUUUAAACCUUCAAGCUAAGCUUGGUGUUGGGUGACUGUCCGCUUCACUGCGGACUCGCCUCAAAAUUAUUGGCGGCCGGUACAUUGGCUUCGAGCGCAGCAGAAACGCGAACUCGGGCCCGUCGUAUUGGCUCCCAGAAGCUAUCUUCACAAUUUUGACCUCGGAUCAGGUAGGGAUACCCGCUGAACUUAAGCAUAUCAAUAAGCGGAGA
rnacentral:misc_RNA from 1 species